GUCGACAGUUGAAAUGUCAGUGUAUUUUGUGUAGAGUGGUUGAACUGCUACCGUAGUGAAUCAUAAUGUUUGAUUUAAAUUGUGUACAUGGAAACAGACCGGGGCAGUGCUCCAUCGAAAUUUGAGCGAACUCGAAGAAUCUGUAUGUCCAAUGCUACCAGAGGCGAUCGUGCAGCGUGGAUGACAUACACUGGACUAAUCUUUCUCUAAUCGUUGUACAUGGAAACUGCUAAUAUAAUCGUUGUACAUUGAAACUGCUAAUAUAAGUGAAAUUUGAGCUCCUUAUCAUGUGACAACUAUAAUAGAAGGUAUGCAGAAAUCUUUCAAAAUCAGUACAUGGUAGUACAAUGAAAUAAAUCACAAAUCGGCUGAAGUCCGUUUGGCAGGAUACAUGUGACAUGGAUGGAUUUACAUGCAGGUAGCAUGGUCUAUGUAAGUCUGAAAUUAAUAGGAGAAAGUGUUUUGAAACAUUUUCAGAGAGGACUUAAGUCGAAGUUAAGUGGACCAAAACCAAUUAAAACUCACUGACAAUUGUAAGCAUGGCUUUACUUGCACCAACUUUCAAAUAAAGAAGCCCUAGUACCUCUGGUCUGUGGCAAACCAUGAGGUUUAAAAAUGACCAUACCUCGCUGGCGUGCGGUUGUACUAUUAACGUAGCGACGUAUAAAUGUACCUUCGUUAGAAUGUUAGUGUAAUAAAUCACCAAAAUGCGUUUUCCACGAUGAAAAUGCGAUUGUAACAAUGUUUUGAAAAUAACAAAUCAGCUUAUUUACCAACAUUCUGUUUAUAAUCAUGUAGCGUUAAUUGCAAAUUUAUUGGUGUGAAAUAGAACGUACUUUCAUAGAA